rnacentral:lncRNA from 1 species
AUGCCUGGCCCUGGCUUGUCUAAAACCCAAUGUGUGUCUUCUUUCCUCAGCUGUGACCACCCCGGUUUGGCAUCCCCUCCGCCUCUGCUGCCUUAUCUCCUUCCCUGUCUUUCACUAAGGAGCCUCUUUGGCCAGCUGAGAACUGGUUUUGGGGCCAGCCGGGGUGCCCCCCCCUUCCCAGGUCUCAUUGUGUCUCUGAGCCGGGCUUUCCAGUCACUCACUGAGGGCUGUGAGCUAGUGAUGGUGGGCUUCUGGGUGGGAACCUGGGAUCGCCUGUAUGUACACCCAGCCCCCCACCUCGCAGACGGGCCAGCUGUGUUUACUGCCAACCACAAUGCAAGACCUCAACUUCCCCACCAUGCCAGGUGGUCCCAGCCAGCACUGUGAUUUCCCAAGCCAUCCACACGGAACCUCCACGGCCUCCAGUGUGCCCAGGGCCCACAGAUGACUCCAAUCUAAAUCACACAAGCUUGCUGAUUGUUCCGUAAGAAGCUCUAGGACACGAGGACAUGUGGCCACCCCAGGGUGCCGGGUUCGGUGCUGGACAAUGCUGGGAGCUAAGGGAUGUGUUGGAGCCCUGGUACCUGAGGAGCCCCCAGUCUGGUGGUGACCAUGUGGAGGGUGAGGGGUUCCCUUGAUCUAGCCGGGGUGAGGCCCAACCACUCUCCCCCAUAAAGACCCCCGCAAGCCCCACCCUGCUCUCUUUCGCCUCCAGAGAUGUCUAAGGUGUGUGGACACUUCUUUGCCUGGCAUCCAAUGCCCUUGCUCAUCCUGGGGCUUGGUGACACUUGGGACAGAGAUUUCUGGCCCUUUCUCCCUCCCCCCACCAACCCCAGGUCUGGUCUGACUGGAUUCCUCCAGGUUCCUAGAACUAGCUGCAUUUCCCUAGCUCCCGUACCUUUGCCCUCCAUGUUUCUUCCCCCCAAAUGUCCUCCUUCACUCAGCCCUGCUGCCUUGCACAACUCCCAGGGGACCCAUCUGUGGUGAUUCCUGCCCUCGAUGACCUGUGCACAGAACCCAAGACUAUAGCACGGCCGGGGUUGUGGUGCAGGGCUCCUCUCCCUUCCAAGCCCCCUCCCCCUCUCUCCAUGUGGUAGGAGUCCUGCCUCCCCUUCCAAGUCCCGUGGGACUUUGCCCCCAACCUGGUUUUAUCUGACCACCGCUCUGUGUGUCUUCACAGAGUAAACAGCUUUUUGCUGGGCUUGUGCUCCCAGGGUCUGGGCCACGGCUUGCUCUGGGUGACCUCCCCCAGAAUCUGGCCCAGUGGCCUCCAUCCUGGCAGCAACCAGCCGAAACUCUCCUGGUGGGGGGGGGGAGGGCAGGCUUCCUUAUCUCUUCCACCAAAAGACCUCAUUCCUCUGGCAGGGCUAGGAAGUCUGGCGGUGGUCAGGGAAGGGCCAACAGGUGACAGACCCAGGAGUCCGCCCCCGCCCCCCCCAGCUGAGUUCCCCAAAGUGCCCUCAUUAGGCAUUAGGCCAACACCAAAAUCGCUGGUGAGGCAAGUGCACAGAUGAUGAGAGUCAGAAUAGGAGUGAUCAGGUCAGAGGGGAAGGUGAUAAGGAUGGGGCUACAGUAAUCAGGGUGGGGCUUUUUGACAUUCCCAGGACUCUGCCCUCAGAUCCUCUCUCUGACGGUUCCCCACUCUGUCUGCCCACCCAAGCCUAGAACAAGGGUGCCCCUAGGGCUGGGGAUCCUGGUCUUUAGGACCCGACCCUGGCUGGGGCUGGCUACCCCAUGCGUCCAGGGGCCUGUGGUCUGUGACUCAGUGUCUUUCUCCAGGCUGACCUCAGCAUGGGCCUGGGGGCUGGGAGACAGGGCAGUUUCCCCUGAGACUGGCUCUCCAGGAUCUUGACUCAGGGGCCCAAGGCUGAGGUCCUGCAGUGCCUUUGUUGGCCUUGGCUCAGGAAUCCAGAUAAACUGGUCAGGGGGCAGGCCCCAGGGACCGAAACCCCUCCCUCUGCUCCCGCCCUCCCACACAGCCAUAUAACUGCUCCUGUCUUGGGGCGAGAGCCACUGGCUGAAAGGAACUGGUCUGGGUCCGCUCACCUGGCUUGUCCUUCUGACUGCGGAGAGCUGGGGAGCUGAUCCAACCGCCUCUGCCUCUGGACUCCAAGUGAAAGUCUUCCCUG